ACACAUGCAAGUCGAGCGAGGUCCAUCCAGUGGUAACACUGGUGAAGACCUAGCGGCGAACGGGUGAGUAACACGUGAGAAACCUGCCCCGAAGACUGGGAUAACUCUCCGAAAGGAGAGCUAAUACCAGAUGCCCUCACCGGGCCGCACGACUUGGUGAGGAAAUGGAUUCCGCUUCGGGAGGGUCUCGCGGCCUAUCAGCUUGUUGGUGAGGUAACGGCUCACCAAGGCUUCGACGGGUAGCUGGUCUGAGAGGAUGAUCAGCCACACUGGGACUGAGACACGGCCCAGACUCCUACGGGAGGCAGCAGUGGGGAAUCUUGCGCAAUGGGCGAAAGCCUGACGCAGCAACGCCGCGUGGGGGAUGAAGGCUCUCGGGUUGUAAACCCCUUUCAGCAGGGAAGAUUAUGACGGUACCUGCAGAAGAAGCCCCGGCCAACUACGUGCCAGCAGCCGCGGUAAUACGUAGGGGGCAAGCGUUGUCCGGAUUUAUUGGGCGUAAAGAGCUUGUAGGCGGCUUGGUAAGUCGAGUGUGAAAACUCCAGGCUCAACCUGGAGACGCCAUUCGAUACUGCCAUGGCUAGAGUCCGGUAGAGGAGCACGGAAUUCCUGGUGUAGCGGUGAAAUGCGCAGAUAUCAGGAGGAACACCAGCAGCGAAGGCGGUGCUCUGGGCCGGUACUGACGCUGAGAAGCGAAAGCGUGGGGAGCGAACAGGAUUAGAUACCCUGGUAGUCCACGCCGUAAACGUUGGGCACUAGGUGUGGGUCCCUAUCGACGGGAUCUGUGCCGUAGCUAACGCAUUAAGUGCCCCGCCUGG
rnacentral:rRNA from 1 species